rnacentral:lncRNA from 1 species
CUGCCUGCUCAAGAGGCAGGUUGGGGAAGACGCCUCUGCUCCAGGUUCUGGUGGCCGUGCCCAGCCCAGCUUGGGGGACAGAGAGGGAGAGGGUGUGUGGGGGGGCGGAGGCACUUACGUUUGAUACAGUGGUUGGUACUGUUUGCCGUUGUCCAUCCCGGGCAGCACUGUCCCCCGCAGACAUUCCUCCUGUGGGGUCACCGAAACAGGGUCAGCAUAAGGCUGCUCUGAGCCAAAUUAUUCCCAGAGCCCUACUGAUGGUCCCGCCCACUACAGGCAGGGCCUGGGGGAACUCUGCCAGGCCGGGCUCUGUCCUGCUUCCUGGGGAAGGUUGCAUGGCUCUGGAGGGGAUGGGGGUGGCACUUUGGGAUCCUUCACACCUAAUUAUUUUUCUUCCAUUUUUGGCCACCCCGAGGCAUGCAGAUUUCCCAGGUCAGAUCCAAGCCACAGUUGUGACCUAAGCCUCAGCUGGGGCAAUGCCAGAUCCUUAACCCACUGUGCUGGGCCAGGGAUCGAACCUUCAUCCCAGCGUUCCCAAGGUGCCGCCAAUCCCAUUGUGCCAUAGCAGGAACUCCCCUUCACAUCUAAGAUUGAAUCCUGACUCUGCCGUCCUCUGCCUGACCUUGGGAAGCCUCACUCUUUACAUCUGUACAAUGGAGAUACCAGUACCCGCCUGAAGGAGCUGUUACAAGGAUUGAACGAGAUGGGAAUAUGUAGCACUUGACAUGGAAACAGGCACUCCCCGGGGACAGGGAUCAGGAAGAGGAUCAAAAAGCAGGUUCAAGGUGGUUCCGACACUUGCCAAGGCUAAACAAUAAGAAGUGCCAGAGCCAGAGUCAAACCUGAGUUGGCCCAACUCUAAGUCAUGCUCCAACUCCACAUGGCCUCUCACCAAAAAUAAUCACCAUGGCCCCUGCCAACAAAUGCUGACAAUCCCUGGGAAGCUGGAAAACACACGCACAACCACCUCAAGAACAUACAUAUGCAUCACCUGCCACAAGGGCACCGUGGGAGGGGCCCCAGCCCUCAGGCAGGCUGGUGUGCCGUGAGACUGAGCUCCCCAAGCAAGCGGGGCUCUGGGAUUUCUCUUGAAGAGGAGCUAGCGAGGCAGCAAGCUGGUAGGAAGAUGGGGCCUUGGGUUAAGCUGCCUCUGUGUGGCUAGCAUACUUUUCUCGGGGAGGGCUGAUGGGACUCCCUUGACGGGGACUAGUCCCUCCCCAGCUACAUCUUGGCGCUCACAUCAAGGGCACCCAUGGGAGACACUGACCGGCAGCUGUCACCGGGCCAUCAACCCACUUGGCUCACUCUGCUCUCAGGCCCCUGUAGCACCAGGAGGUUUCACUCCGCCCCUCCCCUGACUCUCAAUCUCAAGAACCAAAUGUCCUGACCCAAGGAACUCCCUAGAAGGGCUCUCCUUGGAGAAGACCUGUCAUUUGCUCUGCCUCCUUGGCUCAGGCUGGGCCUGGCUCUGGCUUCACAGGCCCUGUCAUUACCCUCAGAAAUCUUCCACUAACAGUGAAACUCAGGGUGAACGGGCCAGCAGAAGUACAGACCCAAGAGUCGGGGCAAGUGACAGACCAAGGGGCCAUUGCUGUGACCUCGUGGCCAGCAUAGCGAGCAUCUGGUCCCACUUAGGAGUUUGUUUGACUUUUGUGUGGACCCCGAAGCGUGUGUGGUUUUUGAAACCUUUUGAAAUAUUCAAAAUAAAUUUCUGCAGCUUGAAAAAGCUGGGGCCGAUUCCUGGCCCUUUGGCCCAAAGCUGAGAGGAGCUGCCUCCCAGGUUGCUCCUCCAGGGGCUGUGCCAUUCCGGCCACAUCCAAGUCUCUCUGGUCUGCUGCCGGCAGCAGCUUCCCAGUGCCAUGAAGGUCCCCUCCCCACUGGGGACCAGGACACUGGGUUCUGGGGAGGGGGCUGGUCCUCAGACCCAGGGUCUCUGCGUGUAUGCGCUCGGGCGGGAGGGCGAAACUCCCCACCGUUUGAAAGUCAUUACCCCUUGGGGUGGUGACCAGCCUCUUAGGGGCCUGGGAGGUCUUGGAGAGGAAACUGACAGCACACCCUGGUGGUUUUCUAAGAACCAGGAUCUGGGGGAGCCCAGAGGACACAGACUGAGGGGCCCACCUGGCUGAGAGGGUCACGGCAUGGAGCCCAGCUCGAGGAGGCCCCCGAGCCAGCUGUCAGCCUCAAUGCCCUUAGGAUGGCUAUGUCGCUGACCGUAGGAAGGCAGCAGCUUGGCCUGCCUUGCCUGCCUAUGGCAGAGCCCUCAAGGUCAUCAGAACCAUGGCGGGGACCAAAGGUUGCCGAGAAGCAGGUGGAGCAGCCCCGGACUAAGAGGGUAUUUGAGAGAUACAGGGGUCCAAUCAGAGUCUCGGGUACAGGCUCUGGGAGGUGACCAGAUGGGAGAUGACCAGUCAGUGGACUCUGACCAGCUGGAGAGAGCUAACCAGCCUGACUAGCUGGGGUGAAUGACUCAGUGGUUCUGACUCUCUGGAAGAUACCACUCAGAGAUUAUAUAAGCCCAGCCUUUCAGGCAGCACCACUCGGCAAACACGAGCCCAAUCUCAGUAUCAUUGCCCAGCCCUUGGGGACAUAUGUGGCCCACAGCCUGGGAUGGUUGCUCUUCCAUCUGGAACAAAUCUGAUCAUUCUAGUCCUCUGUUAAAAACCUCUUGGGAGUUCCCAUUGUGGCUCGGCGGAAAUGAACCCAACUAGGAUCCACAAGGAUGUGGGUUUGAUCCUUGGCCUCACUCAGUGGGUUAAGAAUCCGGUAUUGCCGUGAGCUAUGUCAUAGGCCAGCAGCUGUAGCUCCAGUUUGACCCCUAGCCUGGGAACUUACAUAUGCCACAGGUGUAGCCCUAAAAAGCAAAACAAAACAAAACAAAACAAAAAAACCCACAAAACCUUUCAAGGCUCUCCACUGGCCUCCACAGAGCCAGUCAGACCCCCCUGCCUGUGUGGUCUAAUGGCUCCUAUCACCCCAGCAUCCACAACCAAAGCUAUGACCCUCCGAGGAUGCAAAGUUUGUUCUCCCCCAGUUGCGCCACAUGUGGACUCACUUCAAUGUUUUGCUGCUGCUGCUGCUGCUCUCUCCGCCAAGAAUGCCUUGCCUGUCGUCUUUGCCAAGUGAAUUCCUUGACACGCUCCGAGACUUCCAGAUUCAGUGUCACCUCCUUCCCGUAAAACAUCUGCACAGCGUCCCCCUUUCUCCAGCCACCACACCCUUCAGUACCAAUUGUCUCAGGUUGUGGGUGUCUGUGCCUCUGUCUUGAGGAUCUGGAAGGUUUUUUUCCUAUUCCUCUUUGUGCCCCUAGGGUCUAACGUCAGUGCCUGACGUGUGCCAUACACUGAAUACCUCUCUGCUUCACUUAAUCCAGUGUUUCUCAAAAAGGUGGACAAACAUUACUGAGGGUAGGAAAGGGGGUUGUAGCUUUCCAUAUUCACCACACGCAGCCCUGCUGAAAUGCGCAGUGAGAAAGCCAUCCCCGUUUUAGCGAUCUUCCUAAUCUGAUUAGAUCAGGGGGGCGCAGUCUCGGUCCGAGGUUGGGUCUUCAUGCCAGGUCCUCCCCCGCCAACACCGGCAAACCCCCCCUUUCCAAUGGGGAGACCAUACCGCAAGGUUGAGCUUCCAUGAUGAUGGUAUCUGACUAGACUUGGAAAACAUUUUGUUUUUAUUUCAAUUUCCCUGCAGAUACCUUCUCUUUAUGACAAGUGGUACUAUUUUCAACUUAUGAUAGUGAUACAAAGUGUCCUUGAAAAUGAAUUUAUUUAUGUAAAAAAAAAUGAGUCAAGCCCUGUUUGUAAUACCAAAAUGUGUAACUCAUCUAAAUGUCCAAAGACAGAAGGAUGGGUAAAUAAACUGUGGUAUUUUCAGACAAGGGCAUAAUAUCCAAGAGUUAAAAAUGAGUAAACUUGGACUGGUUGUAUUACCAUGGUUAAAUCUCAAAAAUCUAAUGAGGAAAGGAGAAAGCAAACUGUAAAAGGAUGAUGCAGUAUGGUAUCACUUAUCUAAGUUUAAAAUAUGCAAAACAAUAUUGUGUACGUUAUGGAUGCACGCAUCUGUAGUAAUAGUAUAAAAACAUCGAUUCAAGUCAAGAUUGUAUUAUUUCCAAUACCUUUUUUAGGUUUGCGUAAAACUUCGUAAUACAAAGUACCUGAAAAUAGAUGAAGCAUAAAAUCCUGUUACUUUUUUUGUUGUUGUUUUUUAGGGCCACAUCUGUGGCACAUGGGAGUUCCCAGGCUAGGGAUCAAAUUGGAACUGCAGCUGCUGGCCUAUACCCCAGCCACAGCCACAGCCACACGGGAUCUGAGCUGCAUCUGUGACUUACACCACAGCACAUGGCAACACCAGAUCCUUAACCUACUGAGAGAGGCCAGGGAUUGAACCCGCAUCCUCAUGGAUCCUAGUUGGGUUUGUUAGCCACUGAACCAUGAAGGGAACUCCACAAAAUCCUGUUACUUUUAACAGUUUAUAAAGUUAAAGAAAAAUAAUAGAACAAGAAGAAAAAGAUAGAGGAAAAUAUUACAAAGGUGGUAUGCUGUGAGGCUAGUUUAAGAAAUACUGGAUAUUGGGAAACAAGGACUUAAAAAGUCCCCCAUGGACUGUAAAUUUCAACAGUGCAGGAAUUAUUUCUGCUCUGGCAAUGCUGUGUCACAGACACCUAAUACUGUGCCUGGCACAUAUUUAAAAUCUUCAUUGUGUGCAACAAAUCCCCACUACAUUGCAAGUUCCAGGAGGAAAGAGGCUGUCUUGGCCGCUGCUGUGUUCCCAUAGUCCUGCAAAACGCCUGGCAUAUAGGAGGCCUUCCAAAUAGUUGUUGAAUGAAUGAGCACUCCCCAGCAGUGGUGGUGCAAUUCCAGGCUUCACCAGCAGGUGGCACUUAGUCCUUGGCCCUGAGCAAUUCACAAGGCAAUAGCUAGAGAGGCCGCCCUGGCCCGAAGCCAUUAGAUGGAAUGGACUUGGGUGGAGGAAAACGAUGGACAAGAUUGCCACUCAGCCUCUUCCCAGCUGUCUUGGGGUGGCUAGCUGGAGUCCAGGGGAACCCACUCUUUCUCAAAGCUGCAGAAAAUAAUCUGGAGGAGGAGCCAAACUCAGCAUGUGAUGUGAUGUGUGCACCUGUGUAUGGCAGGUGCUUGUGGGUGGCACCCAGCCCAGGUCCUUACACACUUGUGCACACCUACCAGCCUUAUGGGAAUAAUCUGCUUUGUUCAUCACCACCUCAUUUCACAACUGCUAAUAGUGCCCCCUCCCACCCCUACNNNNNNNNNNNNNNNNNNNNNNNNNNNNNNNNNNNNNNNNNNNNNNUCUGACCCAGGCUAUGCCUCCAACCUCGGCCCCGUGGCUCCCCUACACCAGGGUGCAGCCCCGCCCCUAGGCCAGGGCCAACAGUGACAAGCCCUUGUCCUCCGGCAGGGCUGCACCUCGGAGCUCCACUCCUGUCACCUUCUCUCUGCUUCCCCACAUGCUGCCCAUCAAACCCCAGGGGCUCCGGCUCACAGGGCCUCCUUCUCCUCUGGGCCCCUCAGCCACAACCGUUCAUUCCUUUAUGCUUAACGUGAGGCUCCUGGUACUAGAAAGCAUGUCACCAGUGCCUACCUGGUCAUUUUUCCAGCUCAAUUUGAUGUAAUUGAGUUGCUCUCCUGGCAGGAACAAUGGCCUUUGUCCCAGGGCCCCAUUCCCCUGGCCCGUGCUCUGCACACUGGCUCUUAGGAAGCAUGUAUUCACUUGCCAGGGCCAGGAACGGAAAAAAACCUGAAACCUGGCAAGUGCUCCAUUAUGGCCUGCUGACUGAUCCUACAUGUAAGCGACUUGGCCGUGCGUGGGGCCACACUCUGCCUUAAGCUGGGCCUUCUGCGGGCAGCGGUGCGUUCACUCACUCACUGAGCAGAUACGUAACAAGCAUCAACUAUACAUAGGCACUGUUCUAGGCGCUGGGACAAAGCCUCUCUUUUCGUAGAGCUUACAGAGUGUGGGCUGGGACCCCAGAUCAUAAAUGCAGAAACAGAAACAUAACAGGUCAAGUGGGAAUAAGUGCUGUGAUGAAAUAUAAGAGAAGGUUGCUACAGCCAAGGAAAUGAAGGAGUGGAGAGGAGGUAAGAAUGUCCUCAGGAGUAGAAACGGGGGUGUCGGGUCCUUCAUGCUGGGGGACUGAACCCAACGGGCCCAGGCAAAAAAAGCCUGCAGGGUUCCUCCCCAGACACCGCGACGCCCCACCCCCACCCCGCACUGCCUGGGACUCCCGUGCCCUCCAUUCUGGAGACACCUGUUAUACUCAGGCAAGGCCAAGCGCUCCGCAGCCGUGAGGGUCCUUAACUGGGGCUGCAGGUUGCUGGGCA